AUUGAACGCUGGCGGCAGGCCUAAUACAUGCAAGUCGAGCGGAGCGGCGGACGGGUGAGUAAUGCUUAGGGAUCUGCCUGGCAGUGGGGGAUAACGUCCGGAAACGGGCGCUAAUAUCGCAUACUAUCAGAUUAGCCUAGGUUGGAUUAGCUAUGUGGUGGGGUAAAGGCCUACCAAGGCGACGAUCCGUAACUGGUCUGAGAGGAUGAUCAGUCACACUGGAACUGAGACACGGUCCAAACGCCAACGGGAGGAAGCAGUGGGGAAGAUUGGACAAUGGGCGAAAGCCUGAUCAAGCCAUGCCGCGUGGGUGAAGAAGGUCUUCGGAUUGUAGAGCACUUUGAGUUGGGAGGCGUUACCAACAGAAUAAGCACCGGCUAGCUUCGUGCCAGCAGCCGCGGUAAUUC
rnacentral:rRNA from 1 species